GGGGAUGUGGCGGAAUUGGUAUACGCGGGGGAUUUAGGAUCCUCUGACGAGAGUCAUGCGGGUUCGACUCCCGCCUUCCCCA
rnacentral:tRNA from 1 species